rnacentral:misc_RNA from 1 species
UUCAAUUACGUUUAAACAGAGUUGAGACAUAAGGAGUGCGUUCUGUCAUCACCAUGUUUGUGAAUAUGUUUUCUUCUUGUAUUUUAUUUUAUGGUUAUUUUAUUCUGUUGUGUCCAUCGUGUCUCGCGAUAAAAGUAGCUGUGUAUCGUGGAUCAGAGAUGUUACAUAAAAUCAUCGAACCAGUUUAUACUGGUACCAUCUAUGUGCAGCAAAUUCACUACGACAGCGCUUUAGCUACAACGCACUUCUUAGUGGUCGACAUUAGCGACAACUUGUAUGUAACACCGUACAGUGAUGAUAUAAGAUUGGUAGUAGAUGAAGAUUCAAGCUCCUCUUUAAAAAUGUUUACUUCAAAUUUACUUAAUUUAAAAGAAAGAGCUUUUAAUAAGCCUUUAAUCAAAAUUAAGUUGAAGAUAUGUACGAAGGAAAAUAUAUGCAUAAAACAUACUAUUUACGAAGGAAUACUUGUUCCAGAUGCAACUCCGCUCUUACAAACAGAUGCCUUUUGUGCAGCGGAAGGCUGUAGGGUGAUAGUGAGUUUGUCAGACAUCACUAUAGCCUAUGUCCUGGAAAAGGGAACGAAUAUGAGCACGUCGACAGCGUCUACAGCUACGAGAAAGCGUCAGACAGCGUCUACAGCGAAGAGAAAGCUGGUGACGAGCCUGCUCGCUGUUCAUGGCCAGCCAGAGACAGUCGCCGCCAGUGAGAACUGGACAGCGACUAUCGUCACGGUUGCGGUAACAUCGGCGGCGGUGUUGCUGCUGGCGCUCAUCACAGUGGCCUGCAUACGUCUCUGUCGCGCGCGAACUCCCGGUCAGCCAGCUUCAGACCGCUUUUUGAAUCGGUUCUACGUGAACAACCUGCUGCGAGAUGAAUGCGAUGCGGAGAUACGCGAGCGUGAGCGACGCGAUGCGGAGAUACGCGAGCGUGAGCGACGCGAUGCGGAGAUAUGCGAGCGCGAACGACCCGAUGCGGAGCCCGAAUAUGAUUACGUGUAUAACCAUACACAAAGAACUCGCUGAAUACUGAACUGUUACACUCGGCAUCAAACCAACAGUUUUGUGUGCAGUGCAGUGCCGAGCUCAGCUUACUGCGCCCACUGCUCAACAAUCCUUUCUCAUCUACUAAUUAUGUACCUACACCGGAAACGCCUUCUUGAAAUACGUCAAGCUUCAACAAACUGCCCCUUGAGUUGAUCUUUUUGUACAUCUGCCAGCACGACAAGGCAACUGGCAAAUACUAACAAUUCUUAACAAUAAUUUUUCUAUUAUCGUAGUAUUAUUUUUUUUAAGUAACGAUUUAAAGUCCUAUGACAACAAUAACAUGUUACUAUGCCCUAUUCGCUGAGCCGUGAGCCAAAAGGUAAACAAACUAUAAAAAUGGUACUUUAUGUCACGAACGAACGACUGGCAUGACAUGUAGUGAACAUAUUUAAUAAAAAUAAAUACGGAAAUAAUACCCUGACGAAAUGACGAAAAUGUGACGUUUAGUCAUCGGUCGGGAGUCGGGUUACACCCGCCAUCUUUAAAAGUUUGAGAAACAUUGUUUUCUUUACACUUUGGCUCAAGCCUACUUGAAUAUGGUGUAGGAAUAUAAUAUUGUUACUGAUUGUACUUAGUCUGUAAGCCUUCUUAAAAACGAAUAAAUAAACUAUAGACGCUCCCAUUUAGUUUGCGCAAUAUAUCGUAUUGUGCAAAUUCAUAUUGAAGAAAUGUUGCGCAAUGAUUUUUAGCGAACAUUUAAUUUGCACAAUAUGAUUAGUAAUAUUGCACAAUGUUAUUGCAGGGGUCGCCUUAUACUUACGCGAUUUGUUCUACUCUAAAUAUAAACUGUGUAGAAUUAAAAUAUUAAGAUUCUUACUAUUCUUUUUAAAUAUUUUGAAUUAGAUGUAUCAAUAGAUUUACAUAUUUUAUAACUUAACAAUAAGGUACUUAUGUUUUUUUAUUCUUAAAAAUAUACAUAAUAUGUUGUGAAAUAAAUAAACUACCAGGUACUUACAUUAUAUCUUGACUUAGCGCACGUGGUUGUCGCCACGGCUGUCAUUGUGCCGAUUGUCGUUACGGCCAAUGGUCUAAUAGCCAAGAGCCUCGACCAACACCUCAGGAGACUCUCGUUAGGAGGCUGGAUCAAGGGACUGAUUCAGAAGGCAAUACUCCUUGAUACGGCACGUAUUGUGAGGAGGUUUCUGUCUCUGGGACCCUAACUACCGGUACAGGUCCCUGUGCCCGAUAUCUGUGGCCGUCUAUUUUUUAUAUUUUUAAAUAAUUUUCUAUUUUUUAAUUUAAUAUUUGAAAAUGUAGAAAAACCUGCUGUGAAAUCAAUGAAUGAACUACCAGGUACUUAGAUAUUACAAUCAGGGAUCGAGUUACACCAGGAAUAAGUGAUAACCUUACGUUAUCGUAGGUAGAAGCUUGUUAGUUAUAGCACAGAUUAUAUAAUAGUUACUACGUAACAGAUAAAUCACUCCAUACAAAAAAGUCCAUACCUACUGUUAUAAGCACCUACAAGUUCCCUAACUACCUACAAAUUCCUAGCUGCGUUAUAAAAUGAACCUUAAAAGCUCGAGCGCUUGAUUGUUACUCCAAUGCGAUAGCGCACAGUUCAAUGACCGCAACCGUGCCGUGGCCGUGCUUAGGGUUGCCUCUUACAAUUUAUUAAUAUUUAAGUAGGAAAACAAAGUUACGCUUAUUUUAAGAUAGCCUUUUUUAAUAUAAUUAUAUAAUUAACUAUUGUAUUGCCUACUAAAAUGGAGUAUGGGUACAUAAUAUUACUAAAUAUUACCUAAUACGUAAGCAUAGGUAAGUACUUAAGUAAAGCUUUCGUCAAAAUCAAAGGCGGUUUCCAACUAUUUUUCGAGCACAAGUGCCAUACACCAUAUGGUACAACUCCGUCGAGUGUUGAUACAUAGGUACCUAAAAUUGGUUUCUGCGUAGCGACACGCGUAAUGUUCCGAGUCGUCAUUAAGUUGGACCAGAACUAUACCUACUUACACUCGAGAUGUGUUUUGAGCUACAAAACUCACAAUACAGUUCAUAUAACUAAGUAGGUAUCUAAAGUAAAAUAAGUACCUAAUGAUCGCUGUCGUUAAAAUCAUAAAGUAGAUAAGUAUUAAUUUAUUUAAAAAAAAAUAGAAUUACUAGAUAAGGUCAUAAAUAUAAAAUGUUUCUGAUUGAGUUUGGCGUCCAGCCGGGGACGCCUUGAUUUAGGUAUAUUGCUAGAAACAGGCUGUGAGAUUAAAUGAAUGAAAGAUCAAGUACUUACAGGAUGCCAGGAACACAGGGAUCACAACACCAGAGCACUUUUAGUCGUAUUCACAGGUUUAACUUGAUUUUUUACACCGCGCGCGCAGUUAUCGAUGCCGGCCGGCCAUUGCUGAGUUUGAAACUGGAGUUUUGUCUAUGAGUCCAAUAGGUGGCGUUCGUUGCGCAGUUAUGGUUGCGUUCGGUGCUUUAUGAUUAUGUAGAAUAGU